ACUGUCUGGGUGCGGAGGUUACGUAGUUGCGGUGGAGUGACUAAGUUGGGGCGGGGACCAGUAUCCUUUCGAAUACAUUGUCGCGCGUUUGAACUUGGGGAGGGGGGAUGUUCACUCCCCUGCUCGCGAUGCACCGGUGUUCAGAUUGCGUGCGUUUUAGUGCGAGUAGUACGUGAUAUUAGUGCACCUGAUUGGUAAGAUGAAGCAAGCUGUUAUGGCGGAGGAAUGUAGUGCGAGCGUGUGAAGCAAUGGUAGAGCUCGAAAGCGGUCUGGGUCCAGUCAAGAAAUCGUGGCAUGCUGCGAAGGUGGCAGUGAUAGCAGCAGCAGCGCCGGCUAGCUGACCCUCGCCGCGACGGAGAACACAGGCGCUCACGACUCACAGCGCCAUGUGGAGGCGGCUGCUGACUGCCCUUGGCCUCACGCGGGAUUUCACGUGAUUCCCCGAUAAUAUGGAGGGCGCGCACACCCACAUAAACUCCUCGGAAGGAGACCUGACGCGAAGAAAAUACCACACCAGAACCAUUCACAGAUCUGAUAAACGGGGAGGAGGAGGAGGAGGAGGGUUCGGUCGCGAGUCCAGCAGAUCAAGGUACCAGGGCAGGAGGAGUCGAGACCGGCAUGGCAAGCGUGGAAGGGGGGUUCCCCGAGAAGAAACCACACAGCCAGAGAGACUGUGGAGGAGCCCCCAGCUCAGCCCAGCAGCCACAGUUACCAAGCCAACCCCAGAAGGCUGCAACACCACCUGCAGCUCAAAAUGCCACCAAGCCCACUAGCCAGCCUGUUGUUCAACCUCCAAAGGAGAAGACGCCAGAGCUAGCUCAGCCUGUGAAAUCACAGCUGCCACCAGUGCAGAAGCCGGCGUCCGCUCCCUCCUCCAAAGAGGCAACACCCCAGCCAGAGUCCUCCCCCUCCCCCCCUGAGGAGGUGCCUAGUGACCGUGCCUCGAAGGAGAGGGAAGUAAACAGCAUAGAGCGAGAAGUCAACAAUGUUCAUGAUGAGGAGGAGAAGAAGGAUGAUGGCCCUCAGCUGAAGUACAACUAUAAGGAUGAUCAGUGGAGCCCUGUAAAUCCUGAUGGUAAACGUCAGUAUGACCGCAGAUUUCUCCUUGAGCUCCAGAAUAACCCACUCUCCCUUAAGAAGCCGGAGUCCCUCCCCAACUUGGAGGUGGUCCGUGAUGGUCCAGGAAGGCUUAAGCCUUUCGACCGGGGUGUAGGUGUUUCACAUGGCAGCAGUGGCCCAGACUUUACUCCUGAUUAUUUCAAGUCUACAGUUCCAAGCAAGAGAGGAGUACCAGGGCGCAAUAGCCAACAGCGCCGAGAACCAGGAGGUGGACCUGGAAGUAGAAACGACAGAGGAGGAAGUGGCCGUGGACAGAGUAAGGUCAUCAUCAUCCCUCUCUCAACGGGACGUGAAACUAAGCUGAAGACGACAGAAAAUGCUUGGAAGCCUUCUGUUAAGGAGUCGAAUAUUAAUGAUGAGGAAGCUCAGACUAUUGAGGUGGUGAAGAGGAUGAGAGGCAUCUUAAAUAAACUGACUCCAGAGAAAUUUGAGAAACUUGUUGGUACAGUCAAUCAGAUGCCCAUUGACACCACAGAAAGACUUUCAGCUGUGAUUGAUCUUAUUUUUGAAAAGGCUGUGGAUGAGCAGGGUUUUUCUUCAACCUAUGCUCAGAUGUGUCAAGUACUCUCCAAAAUGUCUGUCCGUGGGGAAGGUUCAGACUCCAGCAACAGUGGCAAGUCUGAAGUUAAAUUUAGGAAUCUUAUAAUUAAUAAGUGCCAGAAAGAAUUUGAAAAAGAUAAUAUGGAAGAAUUUAAGGCUACCAGACGGAAAGAAAUAGAUGAAUGUUCUGAGGCUGAGAAGAAACAAGAAUUGUUAAUGAAGUUAGAUUAUGAUGAGACCAAAUUAAGAAAAAGGUCUGUAGGCAACAUUAGGUUUAUUGGAGAGCUCUAUAAGCUACGCAUGUUGACAUCACCGAUUAUGAUGCGCAUUAUCGGUACACUCUUGGAAAAGAGAGAUGAAGAGUCCCUUGAGUGCCUAUGUAAACUUCUUACUACAAUUGGCAAGCUCUUGGAAACACAGUGCAACCAGCAACCAAAGGCAAUGCAAGAACUAGAUAAACAUUUUGGACAGAUGGAGAAAAUAGUGAAUGACCGCUUAACCAAUAGCCGUGUUAAGGUUCCUAAUGAUGGAUGUGAUUGACUUGAGGCGAAACAAGUGGGUUCCAAGAAGAGAAGACAACAAGCCCAAAACCAAGGCUCAGGUCCAUGAGGAAGCAAAGAGAGAGGAGAUUGAGCAGCAGAUUGCCCUUGCUUCAACUCCAAACCGAAGAGAUGAUAGGAGAGAUGACCGUGACCGUAAGAGGAGCCGUGAUAACCGUGGUCCUCCUAUGUCUGAGGAUGGAUGGAAUACAGUUGCAUCCACCAAGAAUAGGGCAUCGUUUGACUCUUCACGCCUCAAAAAUACUUUUAUUAAUAGGCCGGGAGCAAGCGAGGGAAAGGAAGAAACAUUGAGAGGUACAGGAUUCAGCAAUUGGGACAU